rnacentral:rRNA from 1 species
UACGUAGGGGGCAAGCGUUGUCCGGAUUUAUUGGGCGUAAAGAGCGUGUAGGCGGUCUGGUAGGUCCGUUGUGAAAACUCGAGGCUCAACCUCGAGACGCCGAUGGAAACCCUCAGACUAGAGUCCGGAAGAGGAGAGUGGAAUUCCUGGUGUAGCGGUGAAAUGCGCAGAUAUCAGGAGGAACACCGGUGGCGAAGGCGGGUCUCUGGGCCGAUAUCGACGCUGAGGAGCGAAAGCGUGGGGAGCGAACAGG